rnacentral:rRNA from 1 species
UUAAGCGACUAAGCGUACACGGUGGAUGCCCUGGCAGUCAGAGGCGAUGAAGGACGUGCUAAUCUGCGAUAAGCGCCGGUAAGGUGAUAUGAACCGUUAUAACCGGCGAUUUCCGAAUGGGGAAACCCAGUGUGAUUCGUCACACUAUCAUUAACUGAAUCCAUAGGUUAAUGAGGCGAACCGGGGGAACUGAAACAUCUAAGUACCCCGAGGAAAAGAAAUCAACCGAGAUUCCCCCAGUAGCGGCGAGCGAACGGGGAGGAGCCCAGAGCCUGAAUCAGCAUGUGUGUUAGUGGAAGCGUCUGGAAAGGCGCGCGAUACAGGGUGACAGCCCCGUACACAAAAGCGCAUGUGUUGUGAGCUCGAUGAGUAGGGCGGGACACGUGGUAUCCUGUCUGAAUAUGGGGGGACCAUCCUCCAAGGCUAAAUACUCCUGACUGACCGAUAGUGAACCAGUACCGUGAGGGAAAGGCGAAAAGAACCCCGGCGAGGGGAGUGAAAAAGAACCUGAAACCGUGUACGUACAAGCAGUGGGAGCCCCACCACUAAGCCAGUGGUGAACUCCACAUACGCAUCCUUUGCUGAGGAUACGGUUAACGGAGCGCAAGCGACGUUCAACCGCAAAAGAAGCAGAGGGGGCUUAGUGGUGGGGUGACUGCGUACCUUUUGUAUAAUGGGUCAGCGACUUAUAUUCUGUAGCAAGGUUAACCGUAUAGGGGAGCCGGAGGGAAACCGAGUCUUAAUUGGGCGUUAAGUUGCAGGGUAUAGACCCGAAACCCGGUGAUCUAGCCAUGGGCAGGUUAGGGAAACCGAGUCUUAAUUGGGCGUUAAGUUGCAGGGUAUAGACCCGAAACCCGGUGAUCUAGCCAUGGGCAGGUUGAAGGUUGGGUAACACUAACUGGAGGACCGAACCGACUAAUGUUGAAAAAUUAGCGGAUGACCUGUGGCUGGGGGUGAAAGGCCAAUCAAACCGGGAGAUAGCUGGUUCUCCCCGAAAGCUAUUUAGGUAGCGCCUCGUGAAUUCAUCUCCGGGGGUAGAGCACUGUUUCGGCUAGGGGGCCAUCCCGGCUUACCAACCCGAUGCAAACUGCGAAUACCGGAGAAUGUUAUCACGGGAGACACACGGCGGGUGCUAACGUCCGUCGUGAAGAGGGAAACAACCCAGACCGCCAGCUAAGGUCCCAAAGUCAUGGUUAAGUGGGAAACGAUGUGGGAAGGCCCAGACAGCCAGGAUGUUGGCUUAGAAGCAGCCAUCAUUUAAAGAAAGCGUAAUAGCUCACUGGUCGAGUCGGCCUGCGCGGAAGAUGUAACGGGGCUAAACCAUGCACCGAAGCUGCGGCAGCGAACGUAUCACUUAAAGCGAUUCAGCGGGUUACGAUUGACGGAGCGAAGCGACGUCAAAGCGUAUACAAAGUCGAGUCGGUUUAAGGAUACGUUCGUUGGGUAGGGGAGCGUUCUGUAAGCCUGUGAAGGUGGCCUGUGAGGGUUGCUGGAGGUAUCAGAAGUGCGAAUGCUGACAUAAGUAACGAUAAAGCGGGUGAAAAGCCCGCUCGCCGGAAGACCAAGGGUUCCUGUCCAACGUUAAUCGGGGCAGGGUGAGUCGACCCCUAAGGCGAGGCCGAAAGGCGUAGUCGAUGGGAAACGGGUUAAUAUUCCCGUACUUGGUGUUACUGCGAAGGGGGGACGGAGAAGGCUAUGUUGGCCGGGCGACGGUUGUCCCGGUUUAAGCGUGUAGGUGUGUGUUCCAGGUAAAUCCGGUUCACUUUAACACUGAGGCGUGAUGACGAGGCACUACGGUGCUGAAGCAACAAAUGCCCUGCUUCCAGGAAAAGCCUCUAAGCAUCAGGUAACAUCAAAUCGUACCCCAAACCGACACAGGUGGUCAGGUAGAGAAUACCAAGGCGCUUGAGAGAACUCGGGUGAAGGAACUAGGCAAAAUGGUGCCGUAACUUCGGGAGAAGGCACGCUGACAUGUAGGUGAAGUGAUUUACUCAUGGAGCUGAAGUCAGUCGAAGAUACCAGCUGGCUGCAACUGUUUAUUAAAAACACAGCACUGUGCAAACACGAAAGUGGACGUAUACGGUGUGACGCCUGCCCGGUGCCGGAAGGUUAAUUGAUGGGGUCAGCGCAAGCGAAGCUCCUGAUCGAAGCCCCGGUAAACGGCGGCCGUAACUAUAACGGUCCUAAGGUAGCGAAAUUCCUUGUCGGGUAAGUUCCGACCUGCACGAAUGGCGUAAUGAUGGCCAGGCUGUCUCCACCCGAGACUCAGUGAAAUUGAACUCGCUGUGAAGAUGCAGUGUACCCGCGGCAAGACGGAAAGACCCCGUGAACCUUUACUAUAGCUUGACACUGAACAUUGAGCCUUGAUGUGUAGGAUAGGUGGGAGGCUUUGAAGUGUGGACGCCAGUCUGCAUGGAGCCGACCUUGAAAUACCACCCUUUAAUGUUUGAUGUUCUAACGUGGACCCGUAAUCCGGGUUGCGGACAGUGUCUGGUGGGUAGUUUGACUGGGGCGGUCUCCUCCUAAAGAGUAACGGAGGAGCACGAAGGUUGGCUAAUCCUGGUCGGACAUCAGGAGGUUAGUGCAAUGGCAUAAGCCAGCUUGACUGCGAGCGUGACGGCGCGAGCAGGUGCGAAAGCAGGUCAUAGUGAUCCGGUGGUUCUGAAUGGAAGGGCCAUCGCUCAACGGAUAAAAGGUACUCCGGGGAUAACAGGCUGAUACCGCCCAAGAGUUCAUAUCGACGGCGGUGUUUGGCACCUCGAUGUCGGCUCAUCACAUCCUGGGGCUGAAGUAGGUCCCAAGGGUAUGGCUGUUCGCCAUUUAAAGUGGUACGCGAGCUGGGUUUAGAACGUCGUGAGACAGUUCGGUCCCUAUCUGCCGUGGGCGCUGGAGAACUGAGGGGGGCUGCUCCUAGUACGAGAGGACCGGAGUGGACGCAUCACUGGUGUUCGGGUUGUCAUGCCAAUGGCACUGCCCGGUAGCUAAAUGCGGAAGAGAUAAGUGCUGAAAGCAUCUAAGCACGAAACUUGCCCCGAGAUGAGUUCUCCCUGAGACUUAAAGUCUCCUGAAGGAACGUUGAAGACGACGACGUUGAUAGGCCGGGUGUGUAAGCGCAGCGAUGCGUUGAGCUAACCGGUACUAAUGAACCGUGAGGCUUAACCUU